AUUGAACGCUGGCGGCAGGCUUAACGCAUGCAAGUCGAGCGGGGUGAUGGUGCUUGCACUAUCACUUAGCGGCGGACGGGUGAGUAAUGCUUAGGAAUCUGCCUAUUAGUGGGGGACAACAUCUCGAAAGGGAUGCUAAUACCGCAUACGUCCUACGGGAGAAAGCAGGGGAUCACUUGUGACCUUGCGCUAAUAGAUGAGCCUAAGUCGGACUAGCUAGUUGGUGGGGUAAAGGCCUACCAAGGCGACGAUCUGUAGCGGGUCUGAGAGGAUGAUCCGCCACACUGGGACUGAGACACGGCCCAGACUCCUACGGGAGGCAGCAGUGGGGAAUAUUGGACAAUGGGGGGAACCCUGAUCCAGCCAUGCCGCGUGUGUGAAGAAGGCCUUAUGGUUGUAAAGCACUUUAAGCGAGGAGGAGGCUCUUUUGGUUAAUACCCAAGAUGAGUGGACGUUACUCGCAGAAUAAGCACCGGCUAACUCUGUGCCAGCCGCCGCAGUAA
rnacentral:rRNA from 1 species